rnacentral:tRNA from 1 species
UAACGGCUAGUCUAAAACAAGACUACUAAUUUCGACUUAGUAAAUCUCAUCACUUGAGGCCGCUAA